CCUACGGGCGGCUGCAGUGGGGAAUAUUGGACAAUGGGCGAAAGCCUGAUCCAGCCAUGCCGCGUGUGUGAAGAAGGCCUUCGGGUUGUAAAGCACUUUCAGUGGGGAAGAAAGCCUUGGGGCUAAUACCCUCGAGGAAGGACAUCACCCACAGAAGAAGCACCGGCUAACUCCGUGCCAGCAGCCGCGGUAAUACGGAGGGUGCGAGCGUUAAUCGGAAUUACUGGGCGUAAAGCGCGCGUAGGCGGUCUGAUAAGCCGGUUGUGAAAGCCCCGGGCUCAACCUGGGAACGGCAUCCGGAACUGUCAGGCUAGAGUGCAGGAGAGGAAGGUAGAAUUCCCGGUGUAGCGGUGAAAUGCGUAGAGAUCGGGAGGAAUACCAGUGGCGAAGGCGGCCUUCUGGACUGACACUGACGCUGAGGUGCGAAAGCGUGGGUAGCAAACAGGAUAGAUACCCUGGUAGUC
rnacentral:rRNA from 1 species